rnacentral:rRNA from 1 species
CCUACGGGAGGCAGCAGUGAGGAAUAUUGCUCAAUGGUCGGGACACUGAACCAGCCAAGCCGCGUGAGGGAGGAAGGUUUUGGGAAUGGUAACUCCUUUUGUUCAAGAAACUUAUGACGGUAUCUGACGCCUAAUCACCGUCUAACUCCGAACCAGCAGCCCCGGUAAUACGGCGGCUGCAACCGUUACUCGGAAUCACUGGGCGUAAUGCGGGCGUAGGCGGGGUAAUAAGUCAGAUGGGAAAUCCUGGAGCUUAACUACAGAACUGCAGUUGAAACUGGUACUCUGGAGUGAGGGAGAGGUAGGUGGAAUUCGUGGUGUAGGGGUAAAAUCCGUAGAGAUCAAGAGGAAUACUCAUUGCGAAGGCGACAUGCUGGAACAUUACUGACGCUGAUGCACGAAAGCGUGGGGAGCAAACAGGAUUAGAUACCCCGGUAGUC